GGGGAUAUGGCGGAAUUGGUAGACGCUGCGGACUUAAAAUCCGUUGAUUUUAAACGAUCGUGAGGGUUCAAGUCCCUCUAUCCCCA
rnacentral:tRNA from 1 species